rnacentral:lncRNA from 1 species
UAUCCUGCGUUCUAUGAGCAAGAUUGCUGUGCUCUCGGGAGCACGGAGGCCUCCGUGCUCCUGAACCGUUUUCAAUGAUGAAAUUUUCGUCGAUAUAUAUAUCCUGCUUUCUAUGAGCAAGACUGUUGUGCUCUCAGGAGCACAGAGGCCUCCGUGCUCCUGAACCGUUUUCAAUGAUGAAAUUUUUGAAUCGACGAUCGACUCCGUUAAACUUGAUCUAGCGUAUUUGAAGUUUCUAUAAAAUAAUUUUUGCAAUUUUUUGAUAUCAUUUACCUAAUAAUCGGAAGGAUUCAAAAUCAAUCAUUUUUAAUGGUUGAUAUCUACCGUUUUCAAGUUUAACGGUGUAGAAGUAUUCAAAUCAGAUGAAAUUUUGAUACAAAAUUCUUUAUACUAUCCACAAUAAGAUCAAUAUUUCUGAUCGAAAAUUUUAGUGCUAUAUCAUCACUUUUUAUAGGAUUUUUAUUUUCAGCCGUUAAAAUUUUUGAUUUUGAAUCCUUUCGAUUGCUAGGUAAAUGAUAUCAAAAAUUCGCAAAAAUUAUUUUCUAGAAACUUCAAAUACGCUAGAUCAAGUCUAACGGAGCCGAUCGUCGAUUCGAAAGUUUCAUCAUCGAAAAUAGCUUAGGAGCAUGAAAAGCACAGCAGUCCUGCUCUCUCUCUCUAUAUAUAAAUGCACUU